CGCGGGCGGGCUGCGCCCUUCCGUGGGAGCCUCGAGGGAAGGGCGGCGGGCUCUGCCGCGCGAUGUGGCGGCCCGCCGUCUACCGGCGUACGAAGUGGCUCCGCGUCAGAUCGCAAAUACGUAUAAAUAGCUGCAUUCAAGGAAGUGCAGUCUUUACGCUACUGACAUGUGGCACAGCGUCGCAUCUGGACAAGGAACAGGAAAAGCACAGCAUUCAGGAAGGUCUUACUACAACUGUACAACUGUAGAAGGUGCAGUCAUAUGGACCAUUUGGACAACUUGCCCAUCACUGCAAAGCCGCAUAUUAAACUCAUUAAAAGGAAAACCAGCCUCCACCAGAGUAAGCUUCUCAUGGGAUGAAAUGCUUUUGGCUGCUAUGGUUACUAAUGUGAUGUUCCAUUUACUUCCUUGUUCACUCACCUGCUUUCCCAUUCAAACACCAUACAUGAGUAUCUUCAUAGAUAUUGCUGGAAUAGUGACAAACCUCAUUAGUGCCAGCCAUGCAUAACCAAGAGAAAAAAAACCAUACAAAUGAACAGGGAAUAAACAGAAGAAAGGAAAAUGCUGGAAUCUGUAG
rnacentral:lncRNA from 1 species